CCUUCAAUUCUGUUGAUCGAAUUUUUUCAACGAGUAAAUAUAUUUUUCUUUCAACAUACAGCGGUAGUAGGUUAAUUGAAAGCGAAUAAAAUUGAAAUGGAAUGGAAAAAUAAAGAAGUAUGAAACUAGAGAAAAGUUUAGUACAAACAGGGUCAGUUUAAUAUCGUCGGGGGCCUAAAGCCAUAGAUCAAUAAGGGGCUUUAACUUUUCUGUCAAAUAAAAAAAGGAGAUGAAAAAAAAUUCUCAUUUCAGUCUACUUCUUCGGAAUCUAUGUUGGAGGGGAUCUUAGCAGAUUAAUUUAUUGGCUACCUAAAAUUUUACCAACAAGGUGAGGGUUCAACUCCUCACCUUGUAAUUCCUCUUUCCUCCCCCAAUUUUCUUUAAAAGGAUUUAUGUUGGAUGUUUCUCUAUCUUACUCAAGAACUAUAAUUUUGGGAUUGUAUUAAAGAAUCGAUUCUUCUCCUUUAUUUUUAUUUUUUUGAUUUGCACAAUCGAAUUCAUAUGUUCUAAUUGACAUAUUUUAUAUUCUAAUAGAAUUAAAUAAGAUAACAUAUAAAAUAACAAAUCAUGCAAAUUUUUAGAUGAAAAUAGUACUAAAAAUUUGAAAUGAGCCCGAUCUUAGAAAUAAUAAUUUAAUUAAAAAGGGUACAUUGUAGCUCUUCUAUUUAGAACAAUUUAGUCAAGACUAAAAGUAGAUUGAGUAUUUGUAAAAAAAUAAAAAAAUAAAUAAAAAAUUAAGGCAUUCUUUUCUUCCAAUAUAUUAAAAAUAUAUUGAAUAUUUAUUCUGUUAAUUACUUACUAAUUUAAGAUCCUUCUUUUUAUUUAAUUAGUUAAUUAGGAAAAAAGAGCAGUUCGGUGCACUAAAACUUUCAUUACAUGUAAAAUUCAUUGAAGAACUAAACUACAAGCAUUUAUUAUAUGCAAUUUUACCUUAUAUUUAAUUUUAAAACUUUUUUUUAAUGAUAUAAAAUACUUAAAAUAUUUUAUAAUAUCUUUUUUUUAAAAACGUAAUCUAUUGUUGUAAAAUGAAGCCCCUAAAAAAUUAAGGGCCUAAAGCCUUGGCUUUAGAGGCUUUGCCCAAAAGCCAUCCCUAAGUACGAACUCUGCUCUUAAUUCAGUCAUAUCAAAUUUCAAAAUUUGGUAUACAAUUCUAUAUGUAUCUAGAUUCUAGAACUAGUGGAUAAGUGUUUUGAGCACAUAGUAUGAUGAAAAAUUUAGUUAGAUCCAAAUUGUAUCUAAAGACAUAAAAAUAAAGAGAUGUCAUAAUUGGCACAUGCGAAUAUUUCUUAACUCAAUCAUUCAGAGAAAUAUUUAGUAGGCAUAUCUAUUAUAUGUGACCGCUAAGUAUCAUUUUUCAUGAGCCUCGCCUUGACGUAAAUCUAUGAACUGAAGGAUGGGUAUAUUUUAUUCGUAUCUGCAUUGAUGCAGAUUCAUUUUUUCAUAAGGUAUGCACUGAUAAAUAUCAAUGACCUAAUCUCAUUAAAAAAUUCGAUCUACAAAAUUGAGGGAGAGAUAUAUUUAUUUGUGUAUUUUUCGGGGUUGAAUCAAGUCGGACAAGUGAAAUUUGGGUAUGUUUUAUUUUUAAAAAUAGAGUAUUUGACGUUAAUUUGAACUUUUCAGUUAAAAGAAGCUUACACAUAAUUUUUUUUUUUAAUAACGAGAUAAAUUUGGCCCAAAGUGUGCGGAAGAGUAUAUUUAGCUAAUUUUUAUAAAGUAGAAGGGUAAAUUUGACCCUUUCUUCUUGACAAAAUAAACAAGACUUUUGAAUUUUAUAAUUUUAAAUUAAAUAUAUAUCAAAUAUAUCAAAAUGACUUAAAUUUUGUUGUUUAAAACAUGUCAUGUAACAAAAAUUAAAAUAAAAAAGUUAGUAAAAAAAAUAAUCAUUCUUUUUUAGUCUCUAAUAAAAUAAGUAGGCCAAACAAAUUAAUACAAAAACGUAUUUAAAAGUCUAGUUUUUUGAAUUCUCUAAAAUUUCUCUCAAACAAGCAAUUAAACUCUAUCAAAAUAAAAAAGUUCUUCACACCAUUAUUAUUUACAAAUUUCAUCCGUUAUAUUCUAUAUAACACUAUUUUAUCUUUAACACAAAAGGAUCAUUAACAUACUGAAAAGGUUAAAUACAUAGGCAGAUCUCUCAACUUGACACAAUGUUUCACUUUGACACCUAAAGUGAACGGUAUUCAUUUUUAACAUAUUAAGUAGCCGUCAACUGUGUCACUUUAACACUUUUGCUGUAUUGGCACAUUGUGUGUCUUGCACACACUUGAAGCCCGUGAACAACUUAAAUAUGACUAUUUUUUAUUUUUUUCUUCAUCUUCUUCCUUUUGAUCUCCUCCAAUACUUUCUCCAUUUCUAUCCGCCAAUCACUCACACAACCAUGGUUUCGUCCUUAAGAUAAUAAAAAAUGGUAAAGAAUUAAUCUACCAUCACCUUUUUCUUCAAAGUUUUAGAAAUUCAUAAUUUUCAAUCACUCAUUUUAGCUUAAUUUUUGCCUUGAUUUUACUUAAUUUUAAGCUCCUUUAAUGGUGAAAAAUUUGGAGGUAGAUUUUAUAGUUAACUUGAAAGAAUGAAUUAACAAUAUCAAAUUCAAUUCGAUUGUAAAAAACUUCUCCAAUUGUGAAAUCUCAACAGAUUUUGUCUGGGAUGAAUUCUUAAUAAUUUUUUUUUUUUUAAAAAAGAUACUUGUGUAUAUAAAGGUAAUUUUAGAAAAGAUUUUGAUUGUGGGGGGAAAUUUGGGGGUUAGGGGGAGAGGAGGUGAGACAGUGGUGGACAAAAACAUAUCAAACAAAAGCCGGAAAAUUUUAAGGAAUUUUUUUUUUCUUAACAAGAUGAUGAUCAACAACAAUAGCUUCACUGAAAAAAUGCAAAGAUAUCAACAAUAUAUUGACAUUGGAGAAGAGAAUUGAGGGGUGGGGAAGCGGGCAGGGGGUGAGGGGUGGGUAGGUGGCCUGGAGAAGACAAAUGGGAAUUGGUGGGGGUGGGGUUAAAUUUUAUUAUCCUUUUUUUUAUAGUAAUUAUUUGAGUUAAAAAUACCAAGUGUCAAUAUUGAAUUUGCAUUUUUUAAAUUUUAAUUAAAAAUAGUUAUUUAAAAAUUAAUUUAGAAAUGACACAUGUCAUCAUAUUAUUGAUCACUUUACACCUUAUCGGUACGUGUAAUACAUGCACAUCGUAUAUCUUGGCUGAUUGUGUAAAAAGUGUCAAAAUAACAUGCAAGAAUUCUAGUUCAGGUGCCUAAAAUGAACAACGUCGACUUUAAAUGCCAAAGUAAAAGUUUAUGCAAAAUUUAGGCGUAUGGUGAUGUAUUUGACCUACUGAAAAUGUCAUAAUGAUAGCCCUGGUAGCCAAGGCAACUCAACCAUUAGAUGCUAGUCAAUUCAGACUACUGCAAUGUUACAUUUCCAAAUUAAUUUCUAUGAAGAGAUUAAAGCUGUAUUACUUAGCAUGGAGAUUGACACACACCGUCUUGGUUCAAGGUAGAUAGAUCCCUAGUGCAUAAUGCAGUUCUUAUAUGUCGUGAUCUAUUAUAUAUUGUAAUAAGAAAAACAUUUCUCAUCAAAUGUAUGAUGAAAAUAAGAGCUAGUAAGAAAGACAUAUGACAUGGUUAGGCUGGAGUUUGUGGAGGAAAUGCUCUAUCUAUGCCUAUGGAUAUGGUUCUCCACAAAAGUUGAUUCAAAUAAUCACUAAUUGUGUUACAAAUGUGCUACCAAAUUCCUUUUAAUAAAUACUUUAUUUGGUUCAAAAUAAGUGAAUUUUUGAGUUAUUUUUUAAUAUUAAAAAUAAGUAAAUUGUUCAUUCUUAAAUAGACAAAUUGAAAAUUUCUUUCAAUUUUACCCGUUAUUUAUACUUUUUAGGUUAUGUGUUCCAAGAACUUAAUUAACUUUAUUUUAUUGUGACUAAAAUUUCAGGAGCAGUUUGAUAAAAUCUAAAAGAGUAAAAAUGAAAAGUAAAUUACUACAAUUUAUGUGUUAUAGCGGACACUUUUUUAUUGAAAAGAAAGACGUUUGGUAAACUUGUAAAAAUACUUUAUAAAGAAGCAGAAACAAUUUUUUUGAUUCUGAGAAGAAGCAGAAGCGGAAAAUUAUUUUUUUAUGACAAAAAUAUUUCUAUCACUUAUACACAAUACACAUAUAUCUUAUAAGUUUGAUUGUUGUUUAGUUUUAGAAUUUCAUACUUUAUGUUUAAAUCAUACUUCUUUAUUUUAUUCUAUUAUUUAUAUAUUAUUAUUUUAUUUUUCACUUAUUUUCUUUAAAUAAAAUCGAAAAUAUCAUUGAUGAUGAUCGAAGAAUAUAUAAUUCUUUAUUUUUUAUUAUUAAUUAAAUGACAAACAAGUCAUGUUGCAAGAUCAAAUGAUAUUUUGGCAACACUUUUAUAUUUUGUUCUCAAAUAUUUAAUUUUAAAUAAAUAAUUUAAAAUAUUAUACAUAUUUAAUAUAAAUUUUCUCUAUAAAAUGAUUUUAAUAGUAAAAGUCUAUUAAUGCAUGUCAUUUUUGAUCGUUUUUCUCUUAAAAGCAUUUCUUGAAAAAGACUAUUCAAACACAAUCUGUUUAUCAAAAUUUAUCAAACACAAUUUUUUUUUCCUCUAAACUUGUCUCUAAGACUCACUUUAGCACUUUAACUUUAUGAAUAAUUAUUUACCCUCUUAAAUAACUUUUAAAUGAAUUAUAUUACCUUCUUAAUGGUUGACGUGACAAAAAAAUAAAUUAAAGAAUUUUUUAAUUAUAAAAAAAUAUUACAAAAAAUAAGUGAACCUCACUUUAGUUUUAUCCUUCCUUUAUUUCUUUUCUUUUUUCACUUCUAUCCACAAAAAAUCUUCAAUCAAAUAAAAAUUCAUCAAUGAGAACCUAUCAUACUAAUAACUCCACCAUGAGCUGCCAAAGUUAAUUACCCUGGACCAAAAACUACCCACCAAUGAGAAUCAUACUCAAAAAGUUCAUAAUUUGAGUAAAUAAAUCAUCAAUAUCCAUACUUGGUCCAUCGAAAUUCAAAACAAAAUCACCAACUGAUGGAUCUUCUGAUGAUAACCAAUACUCCGACGAUGUCUAAUCCACCAUCAUCAUCUCAAAUAAUCUUUAUGUAUAUACCUCAAUUUUCAAUUUUCCCACCAAAUCCAAUCAAUCUUUUAACCAAAAAAAAGAAAAAAAUUAAAAUCUUACAGCUUCACCAAGAAAACACCAAAUUCAGACACCCAAUUAAAUCCAUUUGUCAUUUCAAAGAACCCCAAAACUAAAAAAACAACCUAAAACCCUACAAAUUCACCAAGAAAACACCAAAUUUAGACAUCCAAUUGGAUCAAUUUGCCAUUUCAAAGAGCCCUAAAACCUCAAAAUUCACGAAUUUCUCAACAACAAAAAAAAAAACUAAAAUCCUACAAAUUCACAAAGGAAACACCAAAUUUGGACACCCAAUUGGGGUGGGGGAGGGGGACUGAACAAGAGAGAAAAUGGGAUGGGGUGGGGCGUAGGGGAGGGGGGCGCAACAGUUGGCGGGGGUUGUGUGGGGGUGAAGAAGAAAGCUUGGGGAAGGAGGGUGGGGGUUGUGUGGCUUGCAUGACAAUGAUGUGGCGCUGAUUUAAGGCGAGUGUAUUACACUCUCCAUUGUGAGAGUGACAUCACAUUUUUAGGGUAUAUAAUUUACUCAAAAGUUGUUUAGGAG
rnacentral:lncRNA from 1 species